rnacentral:rRNA from 1 species
ACAGCAGUCGCCACGGUAAUACCAGCACCUCGAGUGGUCAGGAGGUUUAUUGGGCCUAAAGCAUCCGUAGCCGGUUGCAUAAGUUUUCGGUUAAAUCUAUGCGCUUAACGUAUAGGCCGCCGAAAAUACUGUGCAGCUAGGGAGUGGGAGAGGUACACGGUACUCGAUAGGAAGGGGUAAAAUCCUUUGAUCUAUUGAUGACCACCUGUGGCGAAGGCGGUGUACCAGAACACGUUCGACGGUGAGGGAUGAAAGCUGGGGGAGCAAACCGGAUUAGAUACCCGAGUAGUCCCUGUCUCUUAUAC